rnacentral:lncRNA from 1 species
CGGUUCGGCGGGGACCCGCAGAGGCGCGGACACGGUGCCGAGGAGCCGCCUCCACGCGUUACGAGGCCGCGUUAGGGCACGGCAGCGGCUGCCGAGCGUUGCUCUCCGCUGGCGGACGGGGCUUCAGGUUGUUCUGCCCGUAUUCUGCUUCGCAUUUAAUAUUCGAGGAGCUGGAAAGAAGAUACAGCCACUGCAUGCUUGGACAUAGUCAGCAUGUUUUCCUCAUCGAAAGAGGUAUUAGCAAUUCUCAAUGGUAAUAACUCCCUGAUUAUUAGCAUGUCUCUGCUAACUUUACUCACCCAUGAAGAACAUACUUAAUGAUGGUGAGAGGAUGCAUAAUGAUCUAGGUCUGAAAUUUUUAAUGGAAAACUUAUGUAUGACAAAUGAUGAAUUCACUUUAAGUUGUACUGUGCCAUAAUAUUCUGCACAGUGAAAGAAUUUCAGCAGUCCUAUGGGUAAGAGCAACAUUACAGCCAGAUUUCUCAUAAUAUGAAAAAGAGAAUACUUUAUCUUUAGAGUUUCCUGAGUUUGGUCUUGCAUUUGGUAAGGAAAUUAGUUAAUUUUGAGGCUGAACAACCUCCCAGAUCUGUGUGCAUAGGUUUUAUAUUUCUAAAUAAACCAAGAGACUAGUGUCA